rnacentral:rRNA from 1 species
AGACAUAGUGGCGGACGGGUGAGUAAUGCGUAGGAAUCUGUCUUAGAGAGGGGGACAACCCGAGGAAAACUUGGGCUAAAACCGCAUAUUCUCGAGAGAGGAAAGCAGGGGACCGGAAACGGCCUUGUGCUCUAAGGUGAGCCUACGUCGGAUUAGCUAGUUGGUAGGGUAAAGCCAACCAAGGCGAUGAUCUGUAGCUGGUCUGAGAGGACGGACAGCCACACUGGGACUGAGACACGGCCCAGACUCCUACGGAGGCAGCAGUGGGGAAUAUUGGACAAUGGGGGGAACCCUGAUCCAGCGAUGCCGCGUGUGUGAAGAAGGCCUGCGGGUUGUAAAGCACUUUCAGUGGGAAAGAGAAGCGUCUUGUGAAUUAAUGGGACGUGGAGACGUUACUCACAGAAGAAGCACCGGCUAACUCUGUG